rfam:Loxodonta africana cont3.18859, whole genome shotgun sequence.
UCCUCAGGCCUUGCUUCCCUCCUCCUUUCUCACUGUGGAGAAACAGGAAGGCUGACGAGGGACGCCUAAGGCAGUAUCAGAUCUCUACCUCUCCUGGGCCUGGGAAGAAGUGCAAGGAUCAAGGAUAAGCU